CCAAGGUUACUGGUUCAAUUUCUUACAGUUGGAUGUAUCCCAUUGAAAGAAGUCUACACACUUAAAAACAGUAUGUUCGAAACAAAGCACGUCCCAAGAGGUCCUAUAAUGAUCCAACUUUUCAAACUAAGUAGAGGUCAUUACUUUACUACUAAGACACUUCAUUCAAACAUAAAAUUUAUAAAACCUGUUUAAAAAUCAUCAAACAACCAAACAUAAAACAAAAUCAUCUUUGGGCCUUAUUUCAAAACAAAUUCAGACAUUCAUACCAUCGUUUAGGAAAUUAUCAAAAACAAAACAAACGAAUAAAUAUCCUAAACAUGACUCAUUUUCAAUCCUUAAAAACAAUUAAAAUUAAAGACGUUUAACGGAAGCAUGAAGAAAAAAAGGUAUCCUCAUAUGGCAUUCACGAAUCCUUUUUGCCCCUCGCCGGUCUACCUCACACGUUACCUUUACCUGAAAAAUGUUAAACAUAAAAGGGUGAGUAUAAGAUAUACUUGGUAAGAGACCCACUACUGGUCCCGUUAGAAGUAAUAACAGUUAGCUUCCUAUUAAGGGUACCCCGCAACACAACAGUCUAGUGAUCCCGCAGGAUGCACACAUUAAUCAAUCUAGUGAUUCUGUCGGAUACACAUAUCAGUCUAGUGAUCCCGAAGGAUACAUAACAUGUGGUGAUCCUGUAGGACACUGUGCCUGCAAGGUACACUACCCCAUAGAUAAAGCUAACAGUUACCCCUCGAUCCAUCCUACACAUUCCAUGAUAGUCACAUCUAAGAGAUACCUUUCAAAUUAACAGUUCCAUUUCAAAGCAUAACUAAUCAACAGUCUAAGUUCAAUCAACAAUCUAAACUCAGUAAAUCGUCUAAGUUUAGUCAACAAUCUAAGUUCAGUAAACAGUCUACGUUUAGCCAACAGUAACAUUCGCCAAUAAACUCUUGUUGAGACUACACAUUAUAGUCAUGCUAUCUAAAUCCAAUCAAUUGUACAAACCAUCACUAUGUAACUACACCUGACAAUCAGUUCAUCUAAAUUCAACCAAUACCACAGUCCAUCAGUAUAUACAAACUACACAUAACAGUCCAGACAUCUAUACUUCUUCAACAACACAAUCCAUCGAUAAAAAAAAAGCUAUUCAUAACAGUCUGGCCAUCUGUAAUCAGUCAAAAGUAUAUAUUAGUAAUGCUUUCUAUAUACACACAUAACAAUCAAUUCAGGGCAGUCACUAUAACAUAACUUUCAUAUCAGUCACUACGUUUCAAAUCUCAAAUUGAGUCUAGUAGUAGGAAAUCACUUACCUGAAAUUUAGCUACGUUCCUUAAUCAAACUAAAAUCUAGCGAAUCAACCUAAACAUGAUGGUAAGAAAAUCAAACGCUUUUACUAAUAAAGUCCUUCGUCCAAUCUACCUAAAUGUAAAUGCCACAAACAUACCAAAGUGAUGGAAAAUUGAACUUCAACCAAACUGGUUCGAGCCUCAAUUAAUCCAACGCUUGCAACUAAAAAAAAACGAAGCAUAACAAUCAAAAUAAUCCACAAUUUCUCCUUACUAAAGACUUACAAUGAGCAAAAUCUACGCACAAACGGAGUCAACAACCAUGCAAAAGCGAAACCAAGUGGCUGCAAGAAAACCCAAUGGUGGCUCGGAUUGGUGGAGUGGGCGACACGAAUAAGCUUGAAGCCGACGGACGCGAAUGGUUUGGAUUAAGGGAUGGGCUCGGUUGAAGAAGGAGGCGCUGUCGACGGAGAAGGGCAGUUCACACCGACAGCAACUAGUUUCCACCAAUGACGAAGGUAGGAGCUAGAUAACCCUACGGGAGGAUCGUUGUCGGUGGGCGAUAAUUCAGGGGGUACUUAUCAACCAUCUACAACUCUAACCGUAGAAGAUGUGCGCAGUCUCGACUCUUGGAGUUAGAGCACUACGUUGCAGCCAAUGGACAGAUUUCGAUGACAAUCGCCCGUAGGCGAAGAAGCCUAUUUCCCCACACGGCGUUCUCGUUCGCUGCCUUUAGUGGGUGAACGUAGGCAAAGAAUACUUCGAGGUCGUCAAGGGCGACCUUUAGCGAUUUUUUGUGCUUGAUUUCAAUGAUCAAGCAAUAAAUAGAUUUGUUGAGCAUCAGAUGAUCAACACCUUUAAAGAGUUCCAAGGCGGCUGUCACAUGUACUUCAAAAAGUACAGAGACCCUGAUGAGGCUCAUGUCAACCCACCACACAUAUUAGUGGAACGUGAUGAGGAUUGACCUACCUCUGUGACCACUACAUGAAUCAUGCA